GAGCCUGCCGGGCGUGUCACCACCGCACCUGGAGUCAUGCGUGUGCACCACCUGAGCACCUGGGAGGCUAGUUUGCAUCAAGGGGGCAUCAGAAAGCCCACUACGCAGGCGCACAGGUCUGCCCUUGCCCUUCCCCCUCUUCCUAGGGUUUCUGUCCUCCGGGAUUGGAAGUAGCUGCUGCAGGGACGCGAUCCCAAACCACCCAAAGAACAUCCAGCCUGAGCCCAAUGCUCCCUUUACUUCCUGCCCCAGGCCCCCUUUACCUCCCGCCGCUGCAGGGCAGGUGCAGAGUCCACAGCAGCCUAGAGCGCGCUCUCCACGAGGUCUCAUGCCCAGGUUCUGGGAAUCAAACCCAGCUCGUCUGGAGAAGCAGCCAGUGCUUUUAACCCUGGAGCCAUCUCUCCAG
ensembl:antisense Gm15351 predicted gene 15351